rnacentral:rRNA from 1 species
GAUUGCGGUGGCUACACAUGCAGUCGAACGGCAGCACAGGAGAGCUUGCUCUCUGGGUGGCGAGUGGCGGACGGGUGAGGAAUACAUCGGAAUCUACUCUGUCGUGGGGGAUAACGUAGGGAAACUUACGCUAAUACCGCAUACGACCUACGGGUGAAAGCAGGGGACCUUCGGGCCUUGCGCGAUUGAAUGAGCCGAUGUCGGAUUAGCUAGUUGGCGGGGUAAAGGCCCACCAAGGCGACGAUCCGUAGCUGGUCUGAGAGGAUGAUCAGCCACACUGGAACUGAGACACGGUCCAGACUCCUACGGGAGGCAGCAGUGGGGAAUAUUGGACAAUGGGCGCAAGCCUGAUCCAGCCAUACCGCGUGGGUGAAGAAGGCCUUCGGGUUGUAAAGCCCUUUUGUUGGGAAAGAAAUCCAGCUGGCUAAUACCCGGUUGGGAUGACGGUACCCAAAGAAUAAGCACCGGCUAACUUCGUGCCAGCACGCGCGGGUAAUAAA